rnacentral:rRNA from 1 species
AGUGAACGCUGGCGGUAGGCCUAACACAUGCAAGUCGAACGGCAGCACAGGAGAGCUUGCUCUCUGGGUGGCGAGUGGCGGACGGGUGAGGAAUACAUCGGAAUCUACUUUUUCGUGGGGGAUAACGUAGGGAAACUUACGCUAAUACCGCAUACGACCUACGGGUGAAAGCAGGGGAUCUUCGGACCUUGCGCGAUUGAAUGAGCCGAUGUCGGAUUAGCUAGUUGGCGGGGUAAAGGCCCACCAAGGCGACGAUCCGUAGCUGGUCUGAGAGGAUGAUCAGCCACACUGGAACUGAGACACGGUCCUGACUCCUACGGGAGGCAGCAGUGGGGAAUAUUGGACAAUGGGCGCAAGCCUGAUCCAGCCAUACCGCGUGGGUGAUGAAGGCCUUCGGGUUGUAAAGCCCUUUUGUUGGGAAAGAAAUCCAGCUGGUUAAUACCCGGUUGGGACGACGGUACCCAAAGAAUAAGCACCGGCUAACUUCGUGCCAGCAGCCGCCGUAA